CCAAUAGCGUAUAUUAAAGUUGUUGCAGUUAAAAAGCUCGUAGUUGAAUUUCGGGAUCAAUAUAUCGGUCGUGCCUUCGGUAUGUACUGGUAUUAUUGAUUUCUACCUUCUGACGAACUAUGAUGUCAUUAAUUUGGUGUCAUAGGGAAUCAGGACUGUUACUUUGAAAAAAUUAGAGUGUUUAAAGCAGGCACACGCUUGAAUACAUUAGCAUGGAAUAAUGAAAUAGGACGUUUGAUCCUAUUUUGUUGGUUUCUAGGAUCGACGUAAUGAUUAAUAGGGAUAGUUGGGGGCAUUAGUAUUCAAUUGUCAGAGGUGAAAUUCUUGGAUUUAUUGAAGACUAACUACUGCGAAAGCAUUUGCCAAGGAUGUUUUCAUUAAUCAAGAACGAAAGUUAGGGGAUCGAAGACGAUCAAAUACCGUCGUAGUCUUAACCAUAAACUAUGCCGACUAGGGAUCGGAUGAUGUUAAUUUUUUAAUGACUCAUUCGGCGCCUUAC
rnacentral:rRNA from 1 species